GAUGAACGCUAGCUGGAGGCUUAAUACAUGCAAGUCGAGCGGGAUUCACCAGCAAUGGUGAUGAGAGCGGCGCACGGGUGAGUAACGCGUACACGACCUACCUCUAACAGGGGGAUAGCCCUGGGAAACCGGGAUUAAUACCGCAUAUAAUUCUGAUUUUAAAAGGUUGGAAUGAAAGUUCAGGCGGUUAGAGAUGGGUG
rnacentral:rRNA from 1 species